UACGUAGGUGACAAGCGUUGUCCGGAUUUACUGGGCGUAAAGAGCGCGCAGGCGGUCGUUCAAGUCGAGUGUGAAAGCCCCCGGCUCAACUGGGGAGGGUCACUCGAUACUGAUCGACUUGAAGGCAGGAGAGGGUAGUGGAAUUCCCGGUGUAGUGGUGAAAUGCGUAGAUAUCGGGAGGAACACCAGUGGCGAAGGCGACUACCUGGCCUGUUCUUGACGCUGAGGCGCGAAAGCUAGGGGAGCAAAGCGGG
rnacentral:rRNA from 1 species